rnacentral:lncRNA from 1 species
AUGCCCUGUUCUGGCCACAGAAUCACAGACAGUAGCAGUCCAGUCGUGUUUAGCUCAGGCUCCAGUCCAGUCGUGUCCCGCUCAGGUUCCAGCCCAAUCGUGUCCCGCUCAGGUUCCAGUCCAGUCGUGUCCCGCUCAGGUUCCAGUCCAGUCAUGUCCCGCUCAGUUUCCAGCCUAGCCGUGCUCUGCUCAGUUUCCAGCCCAGCCGUGCUCUGCUCAGUUUCCAGCCCAGCCGUGCUCUGCUCAGUUUCCAGCCCAGCCGUGCUCUGCUCAGUUUCCAGCCCAGCCGUGCUCUGCUCAGUUUCCAGCCCAGCCGUGCUCUGCUCAGUUUCCAGCCCAGCCGUGCUCUGCUCAGUUUCCAGCCCCAGUUCAGUCGUGCUCCGUUCAGGCUCCAGCCCGGUCACGUCGCGUUCAGGCUCCAGCCCGGUCACGUUGUGCUCCAGUCAAAUCAGGUCACGCUCAGGCUCCAGCCCGGUCACGUUGUGCUCCAGUCAAAUCACGUCACGCUCAGGCUCCAGCCCGGUCACGUUGUGCUCCAGUCAAAUCAUGUCACGCUCACGCUCCAGUCUUGCCCCAGCCAGAUGGCAGAACACGCCAGUCGAGCCCGGCUCUAGCCCAGUCGGGUUCAGCGCCCGUCCCGUCAAGCUCGAAGGUCGUAGGAGAGAGACCGCAAGCAGCCCUGCCGGCUCCAGAGAGGAGACCGCAAGCAGCCCUGCCGGCUCCAGAGAGGAGACCGCAAGCAGCCCUGCCGGCUCCAGAGAGGAGACCGCAAGCAGCCCUGCCGCCUCCAGAGAGGAGACCGCAAGCAGCCCUGCCGCCUCCAGAGAGGAGACCGCAAGCAGCCCUGCCGCCUCCAGAGAGGAGACCGCAUGCAGCCCUGCCGACCUGGUAGCAGUGACUGUCCCUGUCCCUGUCAGUCCUAGGGAGGCGGUCGUGUUACCCACCGCUAGUCCAGGAGAGACCAGUCUGGUCUUUGUCGGGCCCGACUCGGUCGUUCCAGCCACAGUUUACAAAAUGGUAGUUGAAGUCAAACAACAGCAUUCAUUACCCACAAAUAUGAAUUCAGGCUUCAUAAGCCUGCUUCCAAAACCAGGAGAAGACCCUAUGCUUCCAUCAAGUUAG